AUACUCUGGUUUCUCUUCAAAUCGUAUAAAUCUUUCGCCUUUUACUAAAGAUUUCCGUGGAGAGAAACGAGUGUGAGUCUGAAACCAAUUUUUUGAGGCCUUGCGUUUCUUAGCAGGGCUUAUUUUAAGUGUUUUAAAAACAGAUGCGAUUCCGUUAAAUCGCGUGUGGAGCUAUGUAAAGUGUAUUAUAGAACAAAUGCGAGUUACGGUUUUUCAGCUUUUCGCUUUGUUAAGGUAGCUGAAGCAGAGAGGGAAGGCAGCAUACGUCAGCGUUUUCUUCUGUGCACUUAUCAGAAAUUCGAUCAAAGACUUUAAGAUUUUCACUAUUUCUUCUACCGCUAUCUUCUAAGAACUUCAAAGAGGAACCAGGAGUACGGGAAGAGCAUGAAAGUGGACAAGGAGCGUGACCAUGGAAGCACAGCACCACAGGGAGGGGUUUAGGCCUCCGGAUGACUGCGGGCAGGCCUGGAUAAUAUCCAGCCUCCCACAAGAAGCUGGUGGAGCAGAGUGUUCCCUGACUCCUCCAAGGAAACGGAGACUCCCUUUCACGGUUUGCUAAGUAACGGGUGCCUUCCCAGGCACUGGCAUUACCACUUGACCAAGGAGCCCUCAAGCGGCCCUGAUGCAGGUGUGACAGAGGGCUCACCUCUUGCCUUCUUGGUCACUUCUCACAAUGUCCCUUCAGCCCCUGUCCCUAUACCCGCCGGUUAUUCCUUGGUUAUACAACAAAGAGUAAUAUUAAAAGUUAAUGAUUAAUAA
ensembl:lncRNA novel transcript